rnacentral:rRNA from 1 species
GUAGGGUGGCAAGCGUUGUCCGGAAUUAUUGGGCGUAAAGCGCGCGCAGGCGGUCCUUUAAGUCUGAUGUGAAAGCCCACGGCUCAACCGUGGAGGGUCAUUGGAAACUGGGGGACUUGAGUACAGAAGAGGAAAGCGGAAUUCCAAGUGUAGCGGUGAAAUGCGUAGAGGUUUGGAGGAACACCAGUGGCGAAGGCGGCUUUCUGGUCUGUAACUGACGCUGAGGCGCGAAAGCGUGGGGAGCAAACAGGAUUAGAUACCCUGGUAGUCCACGCCGUAAACGAUGAGUGCUAAGUGUUAGGGGGUUUCCGCCCCUUAGUGCUGCAGCUAACGCAUUAAGCACUCCGCCUGGGGAGUACGGCCGCAAGGCUG